rnacentral:rRNA from 1 species
AUUGAACGCUGGCGGCAGGCUUAACACAUGCAAGUCGAGCGCGCGGCGGACGGGUGUGUAAUGUAUGGGGACUGCCCGAUAGAGGGGGAUAACUCCUGGAAACGGUAUCUAAUACCGCAUACUAUCGGAUAAUCCAUAUGGGAUUUGAUAGUAGGUGAGGUAAUGGCUCACCUAGGCGACGAUCCCUAGCUGGUCUGAGAGGAUGACCAGCCACACUGGGACUGAGACACGGCCCAGACUCCUACGGAGGCAGCAGUGGGGAAUAUUGCACAAUGGGCGCAAGCCUGAUGCAGCCAUGCCGCGUGUAUGAAGAAGGCCCUAGGGUUGUAAAGUACUUUCAGCCGGGAGGCGUUACCGGCAGAAGAAGCACCGGCUAACUCCGUGCCAGCAGCCGCGGUAAUAC